AAUCGUCGAUGUAUGAACUUCCGAAAACAUGGCGACUGGCAGUGGGCAUCGCGAUAAACAUUCGACAUUUCUCUACGAAUUACCAUAUAGUAUUACGAUAGAUCUAUGUCGUGGACUCGAUAUUGAUCACGCCUGGGAACGUUUAGCUGGUGAAAUCGGUUACCUCCAUCAAGAUGUGAAGCUGUUUGAAUUGGCAUACCGGGAACCUGGUGGCAGCCCCACCAAGAAGCUGCUUCUGGACUGGGGCUGUAAAAACCCCACAGUAAUGGAUCUGUACUCUCACCUCCAGAGACUUGGUAGACGCAGAGAGAUGCAGAUCCUGGAGGCGUGGUUUACCAGUAGCAGUGAGAAGCUGUAUGAUGCACAUCCAACGUAUCAGCGCCCUAGCUCCAGUAGUCAGGGUGCCAUGGGUGGGUCAUCUCCAUCACCUAGGGAUAUGUUGAAGGAUCUCAACUCCUCAAGAUUGCCAAAACCAAGUCCACCAGGGUCACAUCCUCCUGCUGGUCAUCCACAGAACAACAAUGACCAUAACUUAAACUUCAACAUGCCUGACAAAUCAACGCAGGGGUCAAAGUUCAUGUCCAAUAAGAUGAUGGAGGGCAAACACAUUCCAUCUAUAGAGAAAAACUACGAUGACAAGGUCAUACCUGGACAGAAGGUCAUGUCAGGACAAGACAAAGGCACAUCUGGACAAGACAAAGGCAAAAAAACUUCAAUAGGAUUCCUGUCCGGGAGUGACAACAAAAACCAGUCUAUGUGCUCAGUGCAGGUGAACGAGGUUCGAACGGAAGGGCCGGGGGAGGAUGGCAAGGGCAACUUGGGAGAGCCUUCCGUGAGUCUCGACUUAAUGGAUCGAAUGAAGAGUCACGAAGGGUUGUCGACCCUGAACCAGAAUGGUAGCUGUGAUGCCGACACUGCCAUGGCGAUUAUAAACACACCGAGCUUCACAUACAAAGAAAUCAACCAUGCCACAAACGGCUUCAAUGAUAAGUACAAACUGGGACAAGGAAGUUUUGGAGAAGUCUAUAAGGGGCGACUCAAAAACUCACAAUGUGCCAUCAAACGCCUUUUCUCUGGAUCUGAAGGGGACCAGGAAUCACAGAGCCACCUGAAAACUGAGCUGAAGACACUGAUUAGAUACCGACAUGAGAACAUUGUAGCUCUGUAUGGAUAUACACUGGAGGGGUCUGAUGUCUGCCUUGUUUACCAAUUCAUGCCCAAUGGAUCACUGGAGGACAGGCUGAGCUGCAAGUCUGGGACACGGCCAUUGACGUGGCAGGAAAGAUUGAUGAUUGUACGAGGAGCUUCUUGUGGACUUCAGUACUUACAUACUCUCGGCACUUCACCGCUCAUCCAUGGUGAUAUAAAAAGUGCCAAUAUACUUCUGGAUAAACAUUUGGAGGCCAAGAUUUCUGAUUUGGGGAUGGCCAAACAUGCCCAGAAGGGCUCCACCACAGGGGCUCUCACCCAUAUCACUAAACAACAAAUGGGAACCAAGGAGUAUAUAUCCAAGGCCUACCUGCCUCCUGAGGCCCAAAGGGGGUCACAAAUGUCUAUCAAAGGCGACACGUUUUCAUUUGGAGUGGUAAUGCUGGAGGUCUGUACCGGAGAACAAGCCUACGAUGAGAAACGAGAAGGAGGAGAUGCCAAAUAUCUGGAGCGGUAUGUGAAAGAGUACUUGGAAGAUAGCCAGACGCGGUAUGAGGACCUCUGUGACAAAAAGGCUGGAGAGUGCCCUAGUGUCAUUUACAAUAAGCUUUUCCACAUUUCACUCCAAUGUACACAGAAGAAGAAAAAGGACCGGCCCGAUAUGGUCAAGGUACAUCUGGGCCUGGAGGAGCUAGAGACCCAGUUUACUGACUUACCCGUGCCUGGACAGGACAGCCAGUCGACCCAAUCUCUGGAAGAUGGGAUCACUGAUCUAAAUAUCCAGGAAGAAAUAGAGUACGAAGACAGCGAGGCAAUGAGACUCCAGAAAGAGGUUCUUUUGAGAACAUCUGAUCCGGAAGAAAAUGAAAUUCUGAAAUCAAAACGUGACAUUUUAUUUGACUCCUACUUGCAGGCUGUGACGGAGGGUGUAGGCGAGGCGGACUAUGUGUAUGAUGAGGACUCGGAGAAUUUUAUCACUAUGGUAGAUGCAGGUGAACAACAAUAUCAAGGAUAUGACAUUGGUACCACAGAAAACAUGGAGGGGCUCAGCGCGGGGUCUGUGAUGACGGAGAAUAAUGUGUCUGAUGGUAUUAGUGAACAAAAUCAAGAAACAAUGACAUUACUUCAGCAACAUCAACAGAAAAUAGCUUAUUAUGAAGGCGUUGUCUGUGAAGACAGCUCUGGUAGUGUGCAGGAAACAAACCAUGUGUCAGAUGAAACAGACUUAUCCGUCGAAAAUAACAACAGUUACACAACAGAGAAUGCUAUUCCAACACAGGAAACAAACUUUCAGAAUAAUUCUGAAAAUCAAGGUCAGUUUGAAGUGCCCCAUGAUAAUCCACAGGAAAUUGUAUCUAAUUGUGAUGGCGGCGUCCAGCCUGGAAUGAUUUUCAAUCACUGUGUCGACACAGAUUCAGCAUUUAAACAGCAGAAUGACAAUAUGGAUCAUUUAUUUGCCAGCUGUAGAAAUAUAUCACCAAACUCUAGUCAGUUAUGGCAACAGAAGCGAGCAGAACCCAGCGAAAGUGAAUGUUUUGUCUGAAUCACACAGGAUAGCUUCUGCUUCUAUCAUAAUAAUCAUUAUCCUAACCAUCAUAAUCAUAUUGUAGUCAUAAUCAUAAUAAUCAUAAUCAUCAUAGUCAUAAUCAUGAUUACCAGUCAUAAUCAUCAUAAUAAUUUUCACCUAAGUCCUAAGUCAUAUUCUGCUCUUAUAAUUUUGUUUUAAAUGUUUACAAAAAAUAUUGUUCUUUUAUAAUUUUAUUAUCUGUGAUUUGUUUAAUUAUAAAACAAUAGAACUCGUAAGAGUAAAUCCACUAUUCUCUAUUCAAAGAUUUGUUUUAAUCUUUUAUUUGGGAAAACAGUAAAUCUCAUGUCCUGCUAUGAUUUUUUUAUAUGAUAUUUUGUAUUAAUAUAAGAAUGCCACAUAACUGAACCACUUGGUCAACAUGUAACUUGUCAGAUUCCAAGUUCUUGGUAUAUGAUUCCGUAACAACCAGUAAUUAUAUUAUGUAGGAGAUAUUGCCAGAGUUCACAUAAUUAAAGUUUGGUUUUGUGGCAUUCCAUAGUAGUUAAACCAGAUUCAGAAUGCCCCAGAAAAAAAUCAAAAUGCUGAUCUUAUUUAUUUUUAGGAUAUCUUUUCAUUGGUAUCCCCAUUUAAGAGGUUGUUAUACAUUUUGUAUAUAUUUUUGAUGGUUGUUAUAGACAGAUUUCCAGUAACAAUAUAUUAUUGUACCUAUUUAUAAUACCAGUAUAUUUAUUGUUUUAUAAGUGAUGAAGGUCAAGUUAAUGUUCAAGUUUGAUAUUGAUGUCUAUUUUUUUCUCGUCCCUUGAACAAUGUUUAGAUGCAUAUAGAAUAUAUAUGAUACAGAUCAAGAGGAAUUUUUAGGUAGAUGUCUAUUGUUAUAUCAUAAUGAUAAUGUCAUUUCUUCAUUUCACACCAAGUUUGUAAACUUAUCUUUUUUUCUAAAAAAACUUUUUAUAGAUGAUAAUGGUAUACAGAGGGAGGAAAAGCGUUAUUGUACAUUGUAUUUGGAAUAAAAUGUUAAAAAAUACGUAAAAAUAAUACAUUUCAGUGAUGUGUGGUAUUGUACAAUCUCAAAUUAUCUUCAGUAUCUUCUCUCUGGGUGGAAGGGUGGCACAGUGGUAACUGUGGAACUGUCACCUGGGCGACUAGGGUUUGAUUCUCCAAUCGGACAUAAAACGGUAUGGGUUUUCUUUGGGUUUCCUCCCACAGUGAGACCCCUCACGCGCUUCCAUCCAAGUGUGAUUGAUAUAUAUUUAGUUGAUAUAAUAUACAUGUAACUUGUUUUGCAAUUGCUUUAGAAUAAAAAAAAGUUUAAGAAAACAAAAAUAAAAAAAAACAACUACAAAGCAUUAUGGGAAAGUGCUUUUAUAGUUAAUAGACAUUGUAAAUAUUCAGUGACUCUCCUAUCAGUUUCAAUGAUAAGGUAUUAAAUUUAAACUAACUGGAAAAUAACAUUUAAAAACCUUUCAGAAAUUGACAGGUUUUCUAAAAUAUCUAGAAGAAGUUCAGAUUUUUAUUUGACAAACAUUUUGGACAGUUUGAUCUUUUUUUACUCAAAUAAGCCCUCUUCGAUGCCUGAUGAAAAAUUUUAGCAUUAUCAUUUGGGGAGGGCUUACUUGCAAACCACAUUUAGCUUACUACUUUUAACAUUGAAGAUUCUGCGAAAACGUAGAAGGGGGCUUAUUUGUGGGAAGAUUUGUUGAUAAAUAUUGAAUGUUAACAUAUGGUGUGUAUGAUGUAGAUCCCUAAGUAACCUUGUGGAGGGCUAGUGAUAAAGUGUCGGUACACCUUAACCACUCGGCCACCGCGGCCCGCGGUGAAAAAGCAUCAUUUGUGCUAUACUUUGUCUAUGUAUAUGUACUAUCUAGCCAAUCUUAUCAGAAAUGAAUGUUUAGCAGUUACAAUUGAUAUUAUUGUGCAAGUUACAGGUAUCCCAGAUUUGUUAAUACUGAUGAUAUGGAGAAUAUUCCACUUCCGAAGUAAUGAAUGCAUGCAGUUGUAAUGUUCAAUUUGUGGCUACCAGAGGGCAUUCUGUGGAACUUCUUACUAUGCAAAUAUUUAUAAACAUAUUUUAAACAUUGGAAAAUCUCAGGAAAAGCUUACUAGUCGACCAGUUUCAAUUUCUUCAAAUACCUUGCAACUAUUAGAUCUACUAGUUUUGAAACAGGUGAUUGAUUUUCAAAGUACCAACUUGAAGGUAGCCUGUGACUGAUUUGUUGUUUUCUUGUUGGUUCUAUUGGCCUGUGGACAACAAGGGUCAUUUUAAUCAGUUGUAGUAGCUGGUGACUUCCUCACUGAGCAACAUUCGAGGCCCGUUGCAUGCUAUCCAGAGCAAUGAGAGUGAAGUGUUCUGCCCAAGGACUCAGCUUUGACUGCUCCAAAUCUCAGCUUCCCGAGAAACACAAACCGCCUGGGGUAGGGUAGCAACGAAUUGUGCUACUACAAUCUUCAUCUUAGGUUAUUUAGGCUGACGCUGUAACUGACUGAGCUAUCACAGAAUGUAGAUGAAUGUAAUAAAAAUAUAUUAAUUAUAGUGCUACAGUAGCAAACACAAACUACAGUUGUUAUGGCUAGAAACUAUUUUUUAAGAACCCCUAAAAUUGAACCAAUAAUUACCGGGUAUGUUGAUUUAAAAAUUCAAAAGAGAAAAUUUAAUACUAAUUGAAGUUUCAUGUGAUGUGUUAUGAUCUUGCACAUCGUUUUCAUGGAAAUGUUUUUAAAACCUGUUUUUUGUACCCGUGUGAUAUGUUAGCAUAUGGUUGUGUAUAUUUAUGAGGCAUUUUAUUGGACAGCUAGUCCUACAUGUAGCUUUUCUGCAGAGGUUGAUUGAGUUUCUAAUUAAUACUCUACCAGUGACAUCAGGAUACAUUUGUAGCUUAUCUGAUUUUUCUGGUGUUAACUUUUGAUCCAAUAAGUAUUAAUAUUGUCAAGGUCAAAUGGUGUGAAAGGUCAAGCAAACAGGGUAACAAGACUACUGUGUGGACCAUAUGCAUUUAUAUAUAUACCCUACCCUUUACAAGUCAAAAGUUCAAGGUCACAGUAUUCAGUAAGAGUUCAAAGUUCAGGUUAUAUAAUUCUAAAUUAAUGUUUUUCCUGGCCAUCAUUUGGAAUGGCUAGUUGUUAAUAAAACAAAAUAUUCUUGCAAACUGUUAUCAAUAGAUUUUACCUUAAGUAACAUUUUUCUUUUUAAGACAAGUGUAAUUGUAAUAAAAUUCCAAUUUUGAUGAAAACAUGGUAUACAAGUGUUGUCAGAAACUUAUUACAAAAUUAAUGCUACUGAUGUUGUAUAUGUAUAUUCUAUUUAUAGAUGGGUUCAGUAAUUGUAGAACAAUUUAUUUCCUAAAAAAAUGUAUUUUUCAUCUUAUAUGUUUGUUACAUUUAUAGUACAUGUACAACUUAAAGCUGUUGACUUUCACAAGACAAUCAAAAGUAAUUAUAGGAAUUUGUAGUUAUUUUUUAAAUGAUCGGAUGUUAAUUUGUCACUUUACAUAGUGUAAUAGAAUACUACAUGCAGAACAUUGUUCAUAAUUGUCCAUUCUCAUCGCAUUAGCUAAUAGUGCAUAUAACCUUUUCAUAUUAUCAAAUGUAAACAUCAUUUAUUUAAUAGAUUUGUUAUUUAUUAGAAUAUGUUGACAAAACAAAAAGUUUUAUGGAAAUUUUAAAACUGUUACAGAUGAAAUAACUAUGAUUAUGCAAAAUAAUGCAUUUGUUAAGAAUUAUUUAAAGGGUGUGUGUAUUUUUUCAUGUUUGUGAUAUUGUAAAUCUAGAGUGUUCUGUGAUUUUCUCUUUGGUUUGCGUGUAUUGUCACAGAAUCAUUUGAUAUAUUUAUGGUAUCCGCGCUUAAGUUUUAGAAAGUAUAUUUCUUAUUCUGUUAUGUAAAAUAUAUUCUGAAAAUGAUCUUGGAUUAUAGAUCAUGUUGAUCAAAAUUAAGCAUAAAAAGUCACAGAAUUCUUCUGAGAAUUAACAUAAUUAUAAUUUAUGGUGACGAGUUCAUCCAGUCUAAUUAAAGGGAUAUUCUCCCACAAGGUAGGAUUUCAUAUCAUGUUUUUGAUAAAAAAACCAACAAAUUAAACAAAUUAAAAUCAUUUACCUGACAAUGUGUUCCGAUGAAAUCCCUAGCCUAAGUAUACCAUAUAAACACACAUAAGACAUUUAAUUUGUAGAAAUUCUUUCAAUAGAUCGAUUUUCAAACAUACGUGUGGCCCUGAUUGCAUCACAACAGGUUUACAUGUUAUUAGCUGAACGGUGUGAAAAUUUUCGGCAAAUGUUUUAAAGUGAACAGCGUUCAGACUUAAUAUUACCUCGAAAUUUCUUCAGAAAAUCUUUGAUCCAGUGACUUGAUCAGAUCAAGAUCCUCCCAGUGCGCUAUAUUUAGUACUUGAAGGUACAGAAAGGCCAGAAAUUCUCUUACUUGUGCAGAAUAUCUCAUUAAGUGUACAGUUAUAUAUGUAUCCUUAGUCAUGAUUGUGAUAUGAUUUCAAUAUGUAAAAAUUGUUUUGUCAUUUCGUACAUGUUCAUUGUUGAUAAAGUCAUUUUUGUGAUGCGACACCAAGAAAUCAUGGCUGUAAAUAUAACAUUAUAGUCUAAUAUAAAGAUAUUAUAUGUGCUUGAUGGUUUUUACUGCAGUAUUAACCACUUUGAUGGAUCAUCUAAAAUUAUUUAAUACCAAAAUUAUUUUCAUAAUAAACAAAAAUAAAAAAAAUACUAGCCAAAAUUAA